GACGAACGCUGGCGGCGUGCUUAACACAUGCAAGUCGAACGAUGAAGGAGAGCUUGCUCUCCGGAUUAGUGGCGAACGGGUGAGUAACACGUGACUAACCUGCCCCUUUCUCUGGGAUAACGCUCCGAAAGGAGUGCUAAUACCGGAUACGAACUCUGAACACAUGUUCGGAGUUGGAAAGUUUUUCGGAAAGGGAUGGAGUCGCGGCCUAUCAGCCUGUUGGUGAGGUAACGGCUCACCAAGGCGACGACGGGUAGCCGGCCUGAGAGGGCGAGCGGCCACACUGGGACUGAGACACGACCCAGACUCCUACGGGAGGCAGCAGUGGGGAAUAUUGCACAAUGGGCGAAAGCCUGAUGCAACGACGCAGCGAGGGGGAUGAAGGUCUUCGGAUUGUAAACCUCUUUCAGUAGGGACGAAGCGAAAGUGACGGUACCUAAAGAAGAAGCACCGGCUAACUACGUGCCAGCCGCCGCGGUAA
rnacentral:rRNA from 1 species